rnacentral:rRNA from 1 species
AUUGAACGCUGGCGGCAGGCUUAACACAUGCAAGUCGAGCGGAGAUGAGGUGCUUGCACCUUAUCUUAGCGGCGGACGGGUGAGUAAUGCUUAGGAAUCUGCCUAUUAGUGGGGGACAACAUUCCGAAAGGAAUGCUAAUACCGCAUACGUCCUACGGGAGAAAGCAGGGGAUCUUCGGACCUUGCGCUAAUAGAUGAGCCUAAGUCGGAUUAGCUAGUCGGUGGGGUAAAGGCCUACCAAGGCGACGAUCUGUAGCGGGUCUGAGAGGAUGAUCCGCCACACUGGGACUGAGACACGGCCCAGACUCAUACGGGAGGCAGCAGUGGGGAAUAUUGGACAAUGGGGGAAACCCUGAUCCAGCCAUGCCGCGUGUGUGAAGAAGGCCUUAUGGUUGUAAAGCACUUUAAGCGAGGAGGAGGCUACUGAGACUAAUACUCUUGGAUAGUGGACGUUACUCGCAGAAUAAGCACCGGCUAACUCUGUGCCAGCCGCCGCCGUAA